GAAACCACACAAGAAAAGCUCAGAUACAUGUCAUUGAGAACUAAUUAUACAAUGGAGUUCAGUGAGAAGAGAAAAUUACAUUGCAUGCGCACAAAUAGACCAUUUAAGAUUCUGCUUUAAUGAGAAAAUUUUUAAUUCUCAUUCAUAAGUCAAAGUUCCAAUUUCACAGGAAUGAAGGAGGGAGAGGACCUGUGGACUCAGAUUUAAUCUUACAGGAAAAUCAAAUGACCUACAAUACAGCAUUUUUCCUAAUUCAAAUUCCAGCAUCCUUCUGCCUUCGUGAAGGAACUAUGGUUACAAAUCUGAUGAGAUUAUUCUACAUCAGAUUAAGGAUAAAACUGUAGUUGUCUGAUGACUAUUUUUUCUUUGGUAAGUUAUGAACCCAGUGGGUCUUGAACCCACAACCUCAGAUUUACCUUGCUAUUACAAGUAGAAGAGGUAACAUUUGAGCUAGAGAUCAUUGGUGUGGUUAUCUGAUUGAAGAUAACCAUUUCUAUAACUUAACCAUCACAGCAUCCACACAAGGAAAGCUCAGAUAAUCAUCUUCUAAUUAUCUAAAGAGGACAGUAGUUUGAAACAAAAACCUACAUGUAUAUCCUCAUGGGAUUUCAUGUCAUGCAACCCACAGACAAAAAGCAACCUUACCAAUAUGCCCAAUAUGCCUGUUUUCUUCUAUUUUCAAAGAAAAAUUGGACUGAAGCUGGACCCUUUGGCUAAGGUAUGUUCUCUCAGUGUCACCAAACAUGACAACUAUGCCAGGAUCUAGAUCAAAAGCUAAGACAAUUAAUUUUCAUGAUCUAUAAUGAAGCCUCUAAGAAAGUCAGAGUGACAAUGGGUGCUCCCCGCCCCCCGGGGGGGGGUGUGGUGGGGGCUAGUUCUAGCUUGAUGAUGGAACCCAUCAUGUGAUUUUGAUUUUUUCCCCUUAUUAUAAAGAUGAGCAUUAAUUGUCACCCUCUUGUCAGUCAAAAACGAAUUCUAAAAAUCCCUGAGAAAGCAAAAUCAAACCAAUUGCCAUAGAGAGGCAACCUUUCAGGCAUAGAAGUUGUUCAUUCAGAAUUUUUCAGCUACAUGAUAAAUACUUAACCCCAAAAUAAAAUAAGUUUGCCAAGGAGUGGUGGUGACAUACUUGAUAUAUAAUACCUAACCCAAAAUAAAAGCAAAUCUUUUCUACUUAAUUAAAGCAUCAAAUGACAUACUUUAUACAUAAACAAACUUAAUUCUCUCUAUAAAUUCUCACAAUGGAGGAGAAACUUUUGGAUAACAAGACAGAGCCCAUGCCCUAUCUCCACUUACUACCAUAUGUCGCCUCCUUCAUGACUCAAACAAAUGGGCAACCCCAUCUUAUAUCCCCACCUGCAUCACAAUCUUCCAAACUUCAAAAGCAUCAAAAUAAUGGAGAUUUUUUGAGUCAGUUCAAAUACUGUAUGGGACACUAGACCCUGGUCUACCCAUACAUCAAGCACAAUUUCUGUUCCUAGUAUGCAAGUUCAAAUAUCAAAUAUAUUCUUCAUAUCCAUAUAUCCAUGUACAUCAAUUAUCCAGAUAUGACAAUUUAUAUCAACUUAAUAAAUCAUAUUUAUUGUUUCUUUUUUUUCCUGAAAACGUAGGGAACCUCUUUAAAGAAUAGCCCAUUGGACUCACCUCUAGCCAGUAAAACCAACAGGCCACACAACUCAAUUGCAGUGUGCAUUUAAGGAUUUGUGCUAAAUGCAUGUAGGGGAAAGCAUACAAAGUGCCUCAGUUUCAUUUCUUGUAGAAGAGCUGGAAUAAUAUACUACAAUUUGGGUCCAUUGGCAAAAGUUUAAGCUGAUGAAAUUAAAACAUGAAGGCAAAUUGAAGACAUUUUCUCCACCACAGAAGUUAAAUAGUUAAACUAUGAUACUUUCAGAGCAUAUUCAGUACCAUUAUAGGGGUAACCCCUUGAAAGUUAAACGUGCUUCUAAAACAUCAAAGGAAUUAUUGGAAAUAUGACAUUUUCAUUUCCCUUUCAAACAGUAGAAAGUAAUAAGUUAAAAAAAAAAUAUAUAUAUAUAUAUAUAUAUAUUUCUCUACUUUCCUGGCAGAAAAAGUUUUAACUCUUGCCAGUUGCUACACAUUCGCAAACAAGUCUUUUCAGAGCAAAACAUCUGAAAUGGAAGAAAUCUCCUAAGAGCAAAACGAAACAUGUACCAUAGGCAUUUAGAAAAAAAAAAUCUCAUGAUUCAUUUCCUCAAAGAAAGUGAAAAUACAUUCUUCUUCUUCUUCUUCUUUUCAAUUUCGUGAAAAAUAUUUCUAGUUCCAACAAAAUGAAAGUUUCCUUACAAGGGUUGCCUAUUUUAACAACGAGGGUUUUCUCCUUUCCAAGUCUAGCUAUGGUCACUGAGCAUAGAUAGACUGGAAAGGAAUUGCUCACCUAAGUCUCAACCUUCACAGCUCUGUCAUUCUUACUUUAUCUUAAUCAUCAGCAUGAGAGCUAACUAAACCCCUAGACUACACAACACAAUGUGCCCCACUGAUCCAAACAGAGUAUAGGCUCCACAAGAAUCAGAGAAUUCAACGCUUACUUACACAUGCAUGGGCAUAAUCACAAACAUAUACAGAUAUACUAUAACCAGGGUUCAAUGAAAAAUACAAAGUACAUUUACAAAACCAAAAAAAAACCUUCAUAGAAUCAAAUCCCAACAUCAUCAAGGGGCCUCCAGGGAAAAAUCUAAAUGUAAAAUCGAUAUCAAUUCUGAAAACCCAAUAUGCAAAACUCAAUUUUGCUUAUAUUAGUACAUGCUUUCAUGAUUCUAAUUAGUAAAGGUAAGAUAGAACUAAAACUAAAUAGCACCAAAAGAUGUACAGAAUCAAACAAAAUUAUAACCACAACAUAUAACAGUAACAUAUGAAUCAUUUCUUGUCAUGAAUUUAUAAACCCUAAAGCUCUGUUUGGUCACUCAGAAAAAAAAAAAAAAAAA